rnacentral:misc_RNA from 1 species
UUUGGUUGCACUUGAAGAGGAGGCCAAGCAGACCGAGGCAGAUCAAGAGGACGCACACUUCUCCCGCUGCUCUGGAUUUGGUGUUGCUGCUGAAGCUGCUGGUGGGGCUGGAGCUCAUCUUGCCAGCUUCCCUUCAUUUGCUGCCAUCCCCAAACUGAAGGGCGCUGUUCUUGCUUCACUUGAUACUGAUUCAACAGCGAAACACCAUUAUUCUGAUUUUUUCCUGCAGUAUCUGUAUCUGGACGUUGGCUUCUUGCAGGACCCUGCAAUCCCCUCUCUUGAUAGUUACUGUUCCUGUUGCCUUCACUACUCACCUUUAACCUCGAAACAGGAUCACCAGCUGCAAAUAUCAGGUCCCAUGGAUCACUUUUGGUCCCAAAAGGCGUCGCUGGGG